GUGAGGAAUUUUCCGCAAUGGGCGAAAGCCUGACGGAGCAAUGCCGCGUGAAGGAUGAAGGCCUAUGGGUUGUAAACUUCUUUUCUCAGAAAAGAAUUAUGACGGUAUCUGAGGAAUAAGCAUCGGCUAACUCUGUGCCAGCAGCCGCGGUAAGACAGAGGAUGCAAGCGUUAUCCGGAAUGAUUGGGCGUAAAGCGUCUGUAGGUUGUUUAAAAAGUAUUCUGUCAAAGAUUAGGGCUUAACCCUAGAUAGGCAGAAUAAACUUUUAAGCUAGAGGUUGGUAGAGGCAGAGGGAAUUCCCGGUGGAGCGGUGAAAUGCGUAGAUAUCGGGAGGAACACCAAAGGCGAAGGCACUCUGCUGGGCCAAUACUAACACUGAGAGACGAAAGCGAGGGGAGCAAAUGGGAUUAGAAACCCCUGUAGUCC
rnacentral:rRNA from 1 species